rnacentral:lncRNA from 1 species
AAAUUAUGUUUAUUUUUGAUAUCAUUUUCUAGUUGUUCACUCUUAAUGCAUAGAAGUACAAUUGAUUUUUAUGUAUAUUGUGAUAUCCUAAAUUUAUUUAUUAUUUCUAGGAGUUUUUUUUUUCUUUAUAGAUUCUUUAGGAUCUCCUAUGUCAGUAUGUCAUCUAUAAAUGGAUACAAUUUUAAUUCUUCCUUUGCAAUCUGUUUGCCAUUUAUUUUUCUUAUCUUACUGCACUAGCUAGAAUUUUCCCUUCAGUGCAUCCCAAACUCUUGAUAUUGGUAAAAAUCAGUCUUUGCACAGGUCUCAAGGUUUUUUGUUUUGAUUUCAGUAUUUUUUUCCUUCAUAAAAGCAUGAAUAAUCAGUUGCAAAAAUCCCUUCAACCCAUAAAGUUGUAUUAUUCCAGAACUAAGAAGAAACUCAAGAAUUGGCUUUAUUUUUUUUUCUUGUUGGCAUGGGAUGAAAUUUAACUUGCGUGGUAUUUAUUCGUGCUAUUUGCCAAGUACUUUUGGUUCUCCCACCUUCUGGGUACAGGUAAUUAGGUGCUUCCUAAUUACCUUAUGGUUAGAUGGGUCCAUGUGAAUGGUUUCAGCCAAUGAGUGAGUGAUAACAUGAUAUGUAUCACUUCUGUACCAGAGCAUUGAACUACUAUUGAUGUAAGACUCUCCAGAACUCUCUUUUUCCUCUAGCAUUAACCAAUGAUGCUUAAGGUGAAAGCUACUCCAUCUCCCUAUAUCUCUGAGUGUCUAAAAUGAACAGAGCCUCCACUGCUGACCCACAGUGGACAUAUGGCUUGAGACAAAUAAAAUUUUGUUCUUUUAAGGCACUGAGACUACAGCUCCAAUUUGACCCCUAGCCUGGGAACCUCCAUAUGCCAAGGGAGCGGCCCUAGAAAAGGCAAAAAACAAAAAGCAGUUGAAGAAGAUCUUAGUGUUCUGUGACCACAGAAGAGACCUGGCGGAACAGAGUUUAUCAGCAGGACACAGCCAAGGAAGUUUUCUCUGAGAAAGUAAGCUCUGAGUUUAGAACUAAAGGGUGAAUUAAGAGCCAUUAUGGGUUAUUUGGUUUGAGCAUGGUAUAGGAAGGGGAACAAGUCAAGCAGAAGAAACAAUAAAUUUAAUGAGAGAAAGACUAUAUGAUGGGCCCCAAAUGAGAGGCAGAUAACAUACUAGAGGAGGUCCCAGAACAAUUUUCACUGUUACUAGGGAAAUGAGGAAGGCUUCCUAUAAGAGAUGGUGCUUGGACUAGACCUAAAUGGGCAGGAGGGACUCUCGCAGGUGGAUAUCCUAGAGGAGGGAGGAAGAAGAGGUAAGGAGUUUGGAUUUCCCCCACUGGUAGCGGAGGGUCAGUGAAGGUUUUGGAAUAGGAGAAUGAGGUGAUCAGAAAACUUGGGUGAGAGGGGCUCCUUCUUCCCCCCUGGAGAUGGCUCCAUAUGUAACCUAAAAAGAUUUCAGAGCUUCUGGCCUCCUGGAGCUCAGAGAGGGGUUUCAGUGGUCAGCUCUCCUCUGCCCACAGGGAGAAACCACAUGGUCUUUAGGGCAUAUGCAGGAGAGGCAGGAAGUAAGGGACACAGGGUCCUGCAGCCAGCACUUUCUUCUCUAGUGGCAAUAAAAUGUAUGUGUGGGCAUUGUACCCAAAAUAGCUCAGAGCAGAGGGCUGCGUGCAUGCUAACUCUUACAUGAAAUAAGCUGUGAUAGAUAAAGAAAGGACCUUGUAUUUGUUUUAGGACCCUUUAAGGUGAAAAGAAAAGAAUCUCAAUUCAAUCUAAAGUAAAGACUAAAGAGAACUAAUUGAACUAUGGGACUGGGUACCUCCAGGGAUGGCACUGACUGCAGGCAUGGCUGAAUCCAGGACUUAACCAAGGUAUCAGGAUUCUCUUUCUCCAUCUCCUGAAUUUGCUUCCAACUAUAUAUUGGCCUCAUUAUCUCCCUUUGCAGUUGGGCUUCCUCUAUGCAGGUAAAGAAAAGAACUGUUAAAAGUUCUAGGCUUACAUUGUUGCACAAAGAGGGAGUUUCUCUGUGUCAGUAUACAAAUCCCAGGGAAACUCUCUGAUUGGUCCAGAUGAGAUCUGGAUCACAUGCCCAUCUCUUGGACAAAUCACUGCUGCCAGAGGGAAGAGUUACUGUGGUUGGUUAGGCCUGUACAGAGGACUGCCUGGCAGCUUCGGCCAAAUCACACACAGUGGAGGAGAGUAGAGCCCCAGUGGAAACAAAGCUAUGUUGACAAAAAUAACCUAGAGCCAUUAUGGUCCUUUUCUCAGGCUGUCUUCCGUAAGGCAAGUGACCCACAGCAGAGUUUGUAUUCAUCCUAGCAAUUUGGGAGGCUGGGUCAUUUAAGGAGCAAAAAAAUAAUAAUUAUUAUUUAUAUGCAUAUAUGAUAAUGAUUAUAUACAUAUGUAUUUUUUAAAUGAGAUUUUGAAGACAGGCAUUAUCAAUAAUUUCCAUUUGACAAGAUUAAUUAAAGCUGUGGAGUUCUGCCUUCUUAAGAGGUCUAGUUGCGCCUCCAAGGGGUUUUAACGCAGUGGGGUCCAUGGCUCUGUUCUUUUGAGGGAACAGCCUUGGAGGGAAGUCAGGUGACCUGGGCUCUGGCUCUGGGCCUGUCUCCAGCUCACUCUGUGAUCUUAGACAAGUCCUUUCCUCCCUCUGCACCUCAGAUUACCCACCUCUACACUAAGAGGACAGACUUCGUGGACUGUGGCCUCCUCCUAUAAGAUCCGCUCUCUUUUAGUUAAACCACGUUGCAAGAGCCACCCACUGCUCCCACAAGCACAGGACACCCCACAGGGAGCUGUGUCCCCCCACCUUCUCUCUGAGGACCGAAGUGUCUGGAGCACAUGGCUGAUGCUGGCAUCAGGAAUGAACUCAAAUUCAAUAUUCCUGAAGCUCCGGGCCCUGGCUCCACUGACAGGGACCUACAAAGAGGGCAGUUGCCAGCCGUGAUUCCUAAGAAGCCAAUUCACAGUCACAGAGUCAGAAGGUCCUAUAAGUCCCCUGAGCCAAGACCCCUGUCCUUUGCUGGAACUCCUCCCUAAGAGUGGCUUCUCCAGCCACUGUGCACACCUCCUGUGACGUGGGGCUCAUUCCCAUCCUUGGACCCCUCAAGAGUCCAGUUUGCCUCUCACCUCUCCGUAUAGGUCCCAGUGGUACAAAAGAGCAUCCUAGUCAGAGAUACGGAGGAAUAAAAGUGAGCAAGUGGUAGGGUGGGAGAUGAGGGGCAAAGACGGGAGGGCUUUGAAGACUGAAAAGGAGUCUGAAUUCUACCUCAAGGGCAAGGAUAUUGGGCAAGGGAGAAGCUUAGCCCUGGGAAAAGGCCUCCAGGAUGUGGUAUAGAGGACAGCAGGGCCAAGCAGGAACCUAAACCCGAGGAUGAUGAUGGAUGUGGCGUUGACAGAAGUUGACGGAUUUGACAGGUGGGAAGAUGGAAAGGCUGGCUGAAUGGCAUUUGGUGGCCCAGUAGAUGUAGGUUAGCGCCCAAGGGGAGGACAGAGGCAGCAGAUGCUGUUGUAGGGAUGGGAACCAGAGAGGUGUCUUUGGAGAAGGAGGUAAUUUCACUUGUAGACAUAGGGCUUGUGGAGUUCUCGAAGAGCCAUCUGGAGACUUUGGCAAUAGCAGUGGAGCUGAGAGGGUCAGACCAAACCCCUGACUCUGCCACCUCUUCCUCAGCAACAUCUUAACCUACCCUGGGCCUCUGUGAGAGUUAGUCUGAUUCCAACUGGAGCCACCAUUUCUUUUUUCUUUCUUUCUUUCUUUUCUUUUGUGUGUGUGUGUGUGUGUGCGCUUUUUAAGGCUGCACCCAUGAGGCAUAUGGAGGUUCCCAGCCUAGGGGUCCAAUCAGAGCUGCAGCUGCUGGCCUACACCACACCCACAGCAAUGCCAGGUCGGCAACGCCAGAUCCUUAACCCAUUGAGUGAGGCCAGGGAUUGAACCUGAAACCUCAUGGUUCCUAGUUGGAUUCGUUUCUGCUGCACCACAAUGGGAACUCUGGAGCCACCAUUUCUGAACAGGCAUUCAGUUUAGAGCGAGGAUUUCACUGCCUUUCUUCUUCUGCCAGGCCUCUUGAUCAUAGAGUCCUAAGAGGUCCCUGGCUCUGGGGACAGGGAGAUGUUCCUGUGGUUUGCCUUCUGCAUUGACAGCUCCAGGCUGACUUGGAAGGAGGCUGGUAGUUGGCGGUAGGGGAAAACAGAAGGGGAGGCCAAGCAGCUGCACUGGUGUGCAGGCUGCAGUGGUGGGGGGAGGUCUUGCUC